ACAUGGCUACAACAUACAGUUAAUGCACCAUAUCUCAUUAGAACUUUGCAAUUAAGUGUGCUCAAGCUAGAGUAGUAUUGGGAUGGGUGACCACUUAGGAAGUCCUAGUGUUUUACAUGCC
rfam:Picea glauca, whole genome shotgun sequence.